CAGGCGGACUCUCAACCACUGCGCCACCAGGGAAGCCCUAUUUUGAUUUUUGUUUGGAAACAUCCAGAGAAGCUGCAUGAUCAGAAUGCAAGGAUCUGCCUACGAGGAUUCUGAGGUCGCCCUGCUUCCAUCUAGUGUUAUCUUCCAGGAGACGGGACUUCCCCUCCCAUUUCCAAUGCUCCAGGACACACAGAGCCAGCCCAUAUGGAGUGAACUCUCCCAGGGUAUUUUUAAAGUCCUAGGUUUUGGAUAACUGCUCAGCUCUGUCUGCCCAGCUGCUCCCUUCUGAGAAGGCCCUGAGCUGCCUUCCUUCUUGAGAUUCCUCACUGGGGUCUUUCUUGUAUGCAGCUCUGACUGUGGGCUGCUGAAUCCAUUGGGGGUAUCUUCAUCUCCAGGGGAGAUUAGGCGAGGUCUGCUAUUAGGGAACUCAGCAGACCCACCUCCAAAUACAGCAGCUGGUGCCCUGAAUGUACAGAGGAAACUAUUUGUUUCCUUAGGAGUGCUUGUACCUUCGAUGAGACAGACCAACAAAGAAUGAAACCGUUUUCAGGACAUUCUAAUUAAUUGCUUAUGCUCAUAAUAGUUGGCAUUUGCAAGCACUUAUUUUAUACCUUCAUGAUGCUGUGGGUUCUACAUAAUCUCAUUUAAUCCUCCUGAGAACCCAAUGCAUUGGAUAGUUUUACUAUUCCUAUUUUGCUGCUGUAGGUAGUGAGACUCAGAAUAUAAAUGAUAUUGUCAAGGCUGAACCCUAAGUGGCAGAGCCAGGGACCAGCCAAUAGAGUGUAAUUCUAAAACAAACAAACAAACAAAAACCCCCAAACUGGUUUGUUAAGUAGAAGUUAGUCAUUUACACUCUUGGGAGUAAGUCACUAUUUCGUUUUAUAUUUAUCACAGUGAGGAAAGAAGAUACUGGUCAUCAUCAGACAUGUGUCCUAGAGCUUUUACUGGCGUGUUGAAAAAUGCAGAGGAUAUAAGGAUGAUUCCCUGGUGGGAGUGGUAAUGGCCAAAGAGGCAUGCAAAAAUCUAGGGAAAACAAAUCAUCCUAAUAUUCCAACAAGAGAAAAGGGAAAGGCAGACAAAACAGAAAUACAUAAAGCAAACAUAUAAACGAAAAGUCUAAUUACAGAGAGGCUCCACUGAUGAGCUCUGAUGAGAAAAGGAGGAUAUCCUCACUUUAUCCCAUAAGUGAGGAUAAAUAGCACCUACGCAUGUACCUGUCGGAAGAGUGUUAUGAUGGGGAAGAGUUUCCACGAUAAGGAAAAGAACUGCCACUGCUCUUAGGAAACAUCCUGACCAGGCCCACCUGUGAAUGACUGCGGGC